UUCUUGGACAGCACAAAAGACAAAUUUACUGCUCUUCUACUGGUACCACGUCAGACCAGUAGACCCAGAUGGCCUGUACGAGAAGGCCUAUUCCCGGUAAGCAGAGAAUGCUUCAAUAUUUUGUUCUAGCUUUACAAGAAUGAGGUGGUGCUUUGAAGGUGCAUCCUACAUACUUUCCAAAGGAAGUGACUAAGUUGUGUCUUAACGAGCUAGACCAGCUUUGCCCUACACCCCCAGCCCUCAUUUCUGCUUAUAUCCCCUACUAGCUUACUACUUGUAAUCCUUAAAGGUGUCCCUGCUUUUAGCAUGUCUAUACAGCAAUAUUAGAGCUCGGAUAGCUGAUGAGUAGAAAUUAUGGAAAAUGGUGCCAUCAGUUUUCAAGAGAAGAUUCAUUUUACCUGGGUGUAGGUGACCACUGCAACAUAUACUGUUCUUGAAACAGCAAUGGUAAGGUCUGCUUUUUUUUGUAAAAUACAAAUUAGGGAUAAUGUGCUGUUAAAGUUUUAAAUUUGCAUGUGCAUACAGAUGUAAACAAACCCUACACUGGCUAUAGCAACACUACAGUCAGGAAAUAAAAGACUGGUUUGGUUCUAUAAAUAUACCUGUGAGCAAGAGGUAUCACAGCAAAAACUAUUGGUACAUAAAAUUACGUAUGAGUUGUAUGUUUGCUUAACACACAUCUCUUGCUCAACUAUCUGUGCACACACACAAAGUUAAUCAGCGCACAAUUAAGAAGUUAUAAAUAUCUAGGACAUGUCUUGGCUGUAACAAGAUGAAUCAAAUCAAGUGACCAAUUUAAAAUCAAACAGGAAGCCUUGGGGUAUUUUGAGAUAAUCAUUUCAUUUUGUAGUUGUAGUUUGUUGUUUUCCAAUUUGAUUCUCACCGAUUUUAAUAUUUUUUGCUAACCAGGAUAAUAUUACAACUGAGCACAUUCAGGAACUGUACCUUGGGUUUUUUUGAUUUGGGUUCCUCCCCCCCUCCAGAAAACAAUGAAUGACAUGUCUUGCUUAGUAUUUUUUCUCCCCUUUUGAUUUGUACCAUAGUGAGCAAAGGUGAAAACAAGCAGAAAGUAGUCAAGGAAAAAAAAAUCUUCGUAACUAUUCAAAUCAACUGCUGCACAGCUUUGUGACAGAGGCCAUUCAAGAUAGCGAAGGAAGAGCUCACAUUACUUGAAGUGCAUGCAGGACCGAAAAUGCAUUUAUGCGGAUCUAAGCAUGGCUGCGAGAGCUGACUGCCUUGGAGUCCCCAUAAGGCUUGUGCAGUAUUCCAUCCUUACGGUAUCUGUUGGCAAGCCAUACAGCUGGCAUCCACACAACGCAAAACCAACUCACACUCAGAUUCUCCCACGUCUCAAAGUCAGUGGCUGAGUAUGCACUGUCCAAACGUCAAGUUUUCAUUUAGUACAAAGAUCUUGCUGAAGAACAGGUAGUUAAUUCAAUACCCACCCCAUGCCACAUGCGAGCAUUUCAUUUACAGAAGCAGUGAACACUAGAAGUGAUGACCUGCACUGCAAACCCCCCACAUCUGCUCAGGUCUCACCUCAUGGCUGGGCAUCCUGUUAAUGAGAUAUGCAGGGGGUGUUCCCGUCAGACGCAUGAUCUGCUGAAGCUGGUUAAUAUCUUAAGUGCCUAGUCAAGGGCUUUGUUAAAAACAGUGCAAAAAACCAUUUCAAACAGAAAACAGCUGCAUACAAAGCAUCUCUUCUGCAAACUACAAGGCACAGACCAAACAGGCAAGGUCCACUAAUUUUGUCAAAUACUUGUGAGAAGUUUAGCAACUGGACUAGUGAACACUUAAAGCAAUGGAGAAUUACUGAUCACUUGCUAACAGGGUCAGUACAGAAAGGAAGCAUUUCUGUCUGCCACUAGCAGAACUAAACUACAGCAUGAUCACUUUCACGUUUCCCAACACUUUAAGCCAUCAGAGUAGAGAUCUCCUUUGGCUGAAGCAGCUCCUCAAAAGGAGGAGUCCUUGCUUUUCCUAGGCUGCUGCAGCUACACACAACCCAGGAAAAUGAACAACAAAAACAUCUUAUAUUCUGCACUGGUUACAAGAUUCUUUUUUCUUACUGCAUAAAAAGUUCUUAAGCUCCUUGUGGUGCAAAGUAAAAUCAGCUCACAAUUGACACCUCCUUCUAAACAGCCAUGAAUGCACUCUGAUAUGUGGGUGAGGUGACAGAAGGCAAUAAAUGCAAAAUUAGCAAAACAUUAGCAUUGCAUAACACAGAGUUAGCUGAUGUCAGUGAACAGGACAGAGAAAAUAAGAGCAACGAAAGUGAUGCAGGAAGAAAACAAAUACAGAACUCAUUACAGUGACACACUAAAGCCCCUCAAAUACUUCACAGCUUUGCUAUCUUCAUAUAACAUAAAAAUAUAGCAGAAACAGUACCUCACUUUUUUUUUUUUAAACAGAUUCUUGACUUGGAUUUAACUAAGACUAAUUCUUCUUUUUAUUGCACAAGGUUAAAAGAAAAAGAUAUAUACUUCAAUCUUACAUAUACAAACCAAUCUUAUGUUUAACCUAGUUAACCGUUAAAGCUUGUUUCUCUCGCUAAUCCCCUGAACUUCAGACUACCCUUCAUCAGGGUCCCAUAAGGUCAGUUCACAGAUGCCUGAAGCCACCUGCUUUACUCAGUUCUACCUUUCCAAAAGACAUCCCAGUGCUUUUUAAAUUGGCAUGGUAUUCAGCAAGUUUACCAAUUCAUCUGGCAAUUUAUAGCUACCCUAAUGUUUUGCACUUACCAUCACUGUUACAUGAGAAAUGUUACAAGCUGCAGUACAAAAUAAUCUUCUCACCACUUUCCACUGCACUGAUCAUCUAUUACUGAACAGCGAUGAUAGCUUGCUGAAGCAUGUUGCUAGUUACCUCUAAGCAAGUUCAUUGCUCUCUAUGCACCAACUUGUUCACCUGUACUGUUACAGCAUUCCUUGGUCUAAUUUCUGUGCACUUCAUUUUCAGAAACAGGUAAAGUUAAAUGCUGUUUAAUGCUACCUUCACAGAAUUUCACAAUCCAAGAUUAAAUCAACUAAUACAGAAAAGAUGGUAGGGCUGAAAAUAUGGGUCACCCUUCAAAAAGGAAUCUCCAGACAGCUUUUUGCUGUUAUCUUGAUAAAAAGGCCCCAUGCAACAGCACCCUUUAAAUGCAUGGCGUGAUUGCUUAUAUACUCGGCAGGCUGUAUACUGCGUGCCUUGAAAACGGCUUCCGCAAAAGAGCGCCUAAAAGGCAUUCGGGAUUUUACAGCACAAAACUAAAGAUGGUGGGAAUAGUGUUUCAGAAAGUAAUCAUACAUGAACACCCAAAAAGGGACGGUGUAUGUUUAGAGGAUGACACACUUGCUACUGUUUAAAGUUUCCCUCACCAGAAAGAUCUUUGGAUAGGCAAUCUGGAGGAGUAAUAAUUGAGACAAGUCUCAAGCUCUUAGUUGUGAAAAUGCUUUCCCAGUAGCAUCUGAUCAUCCAACAUAUCAUGAGGUAAAAACCCACAAACUGAAAGAAAAAUCACAAAGCAGUAACAUGAGAAUAUGGAAGGAAGAAAUCAUACCAUAGGUAAAGUUAAGAGGAAUAAAGAUCAGAUAACACUCAGCGUAUGAACUCAAAAGACAUCCAGGAGUGAAGAAUGACAAAGGAAGAAAAACAACAGAAAAGAAAUUCCAACACGUACUACAGAGAGACUACAGGAGGGCAACACACAAAUCUGGGACUUCCAAAAGGGCAGAUAUUACAAUCAAAGUGUAAACUCACAGACUCUGAGGAGAUUUUCUUCAAAAGCUCGGGCCCUGGGGUUCCAACGAGUCUCAAAAUGAGCUUCAACUGAUCAAUAUCUAAUGAUGGACCAUAAAGGAAAAUGCUGGGACAAAUCAAAAUGAAAAGUGCAAAGUAUCAGCCUAUAAACGUUGAAAAGUUAAUGUCUGCCAAGGCCUCAACUAAAACAUGAUUUUAAGCAAACUGUAUUCAUUCCUCUUAUAUAAAAUUGAGUAUCCCCUUUUAAUACAACUCUGUCUAUAUCAUACAGAUUGAAUGACUUGGCUACAAGUAUGCCACAUGCAUUGGUCACUGUGUCCUUGACUAUCAUGGAGCAGGAGACAAAACCUUUGCCCCACUGGCAAAGGAUCAGUUUGCAUGCUCACUUCAUCCUUUUAGACCCCACAGCCAAAGCAGCAGCAGUUAGCAGUAUUAAGUUGUAUUAGUGACAGAUGAAGUAAAGCAGAAGGCUAAAAAGUAUAGGCGCUAAUAUUAAAAAAGAAAAAAAAGAUUAAGGCCUUUUGUGAACACACUCCAAGAUAAAUUCAACCACUCAUUAAAAACUUAGCAAGUAAGAAAAUGACUCGACCCUGCUCACCAUCCACAGCUUUGCUAUAGCAUCUCUAACCCUGAUCGGAUGGAUGCACCUUUCUCGCACCCAGACUAGCUGCUAGAGACAAGAGCGGCGAUGCAGCCAGCAGAGGGUGCUCGCUCUUACCGGCUCCCACCAGGGAUGAGCAGGGCCAGGAAGGAAAAGGAGUACCUGGAUCUUCCCUCUAACACUACAGACACACAACUGGAGGUUUGGGGAGGGAAACAGAGGACCACCAGAAUAUGACCUCAAGUUUAAUCUCUCUAUGCAGAAAGCUCCUGGUCAUAAAACUGCAGAUGGAAAGAAUGUUCUAUCCAGAACUCUGCUUCCACCAGGCCACUUAUUCAUCUGAGCUGUCCUCUUUAAAAAGGCAGAAAAACUAAAUAUUUGGGAUACCUGACAAAAUAUAAACUUGGGAAAAAAUCCAUUAAAGAAAAGUUAUACAUCUAAUACUCAAGACAGUAAGGAGACACAAGGUAUCUUUUUAAAAUCAUUAGAAGAAUAAUCCAUCCCUUCUCUGAAUUAUCCUCCAUGAUGCCUCUCAAAGCACACUAGUGAUUUCAGACUGUCUGUAAUGUUCAUAUUUGCCCUUAAAAUUACAUCAAACUCGUUACAUAUUUUCCUUUCAAUAAAAAUAGUCCACUUACUAGAAAA